GGGAGUGCUGUAGCUUAGUGGUAGAGCAUUUGCUCUGCACACAGAAGGUCCCAGGUUCAUUCCCUGGCACCUCCA